rnacentral:rRNA from 1 species
UCGCCAGACUCCUACGGGAGGCAGCAGUGGGGAAUAUUGGGCAAUGGGCGCAAGCCUGACCCAGCAACGCCGCGUGAAGGAUGAAGGUUUUCGGAUUGUAAACUUCUGUCGCGAGGGACGAAGAAUGACGGUACCUCGUAAGAAAGCCCCGGCUAACUACGUGCCAGCAGCCGCGGUAAUACGUAGGGGGCAAGCGUUAUCCGGAUUCACUGGGUGUAAAGGGAGCGUAGACGGCGACGCAAGUCUGGAGUGAAAGCCCGGGGCCCAACCCCGGGACUGCUCUGGAAACUGCGGCGCUGGAGUACGGGAGGGGCAGGCGGAAUUCCUGGUGUAGCGGUGAAAUGCGUAGAUAUCAGGAGGAACACCAGUGGCGAAGGCGGCCUACUGGACGGUGACUGACGCUGAGGCUCGAAAGCGUGGGGAGCAAACAGGAUUAGAUACCCCAGUA